UACGUAGGGUGCAAGCGUUAAUCGGAAUUACUGGGCGUAAAGCGUGCGCAGGCGGUUGUGCAAGACAGGUGUGAAAUCCCCGGGCUUAACCUGGGAACUGCACUUGUGACUGCACGGCUGGAGUACGGUAGAGGGGGAUGGAAUUCCGCGUGUAGCAGUGAAAUGCGUAGAUAUCUGGAGGAAUACCGGUGGCGAAGGCGGCAUCCUGGACCGGCAUUGACGCUGAGGAGCGAAAGCCAGGGGAGCAAACGGG
rnacentral:rRNA from 1 species